AUAUUUGAACAGAGCGAAGGUUGACAAACAUGGUGGUUAGAUAUCUAAAUUCUAAGAAUUAUAAAUGCGUCACAUAUGUACCUUGUUUCUAGGAAAUUAUCAUGACUUUUUUUUACUUUGGCUGUAUAAAGAUGAAAUUGAUCAAUUCGUUACCUGAUUGGAUUAAACUUAGGGGAGGUAUAUGCUAAUUUUGUGGUUUGAAGCUAUAAAUUUUCUACGAUGUCAAAAUAAAGCAGCAACCAUUUUAUACCUAUCAACGUGUAUUGGUCUUCAGUGGUUGUCCGGCCGGUGAUUCACCCACAGACAAACCAGGGGCUCCUUUCAAUUGGUAGCAGAGGAUGGUUCACUGACUAUCCAGACCCAACUCAUCCAUUCUUGCCCGGAGACAAGGUUCUGGUGAAACAACUGGCUGUCCGCCACAAGACUGGUCCAAUAUAUCAAGGUCCAUUUGAGGUUCUGAGAGUUGCUCGAACGGCUGUCCUUACUGACCAGAGUCCACAGUGGAUACACGCCAGCCGGCUCAAGAAGACACCGGAAGGAGUCCUGAAGGAAUUCCCCGGACAAGCAUGAGUCUUUUGGACAAGAUGCCUUCAAAGGAAAUGACUUUGAUCAUACCCCCAAGCCUGCAAAGUAGAUAUGAGCAAUGGCUAAGAGGCUAUCCUAAACCACUUUGUCCAGAGGAUCCAAAGACUAUGCAGGACUUGUAUGAGGAAGAAUUCAUGUUCAGGGAAUAUACCAAUGAACUAGAGACUGAGGACUUGAAAGAUCAAAACUUUCCUGAACCAUUUAGUAAGCAGAUGA